CAGUCGCCGCGGGAAUACAGAGGGUGCAAGCGUUAAUCGGAAUUACUGGGCGUAAAGCGUGCGCAGGCGGUUUGUUAAGACAGAUGUGAAAUCCCCGGGCUCAACCUGGGAACUGCAUUUGUGACUGGCAGGCUAGAGUAUGGCAGAGGGGGGUGGAAUUCCGCGUGUAGCAGUGAAAUGCGUAGAUAUGCGGAGGAACACCGAUGGCGAAGGCAGCCCCCUGGGCCAAUACUGACGCUCAUGCACGAAAGCGUGGGGAGCAAACAGGAUUAGAUACCCCCGUAGUCCCUGUCUCUUAUAC
rnacentral:rRNA from 1 species